GGUAAAAGAAAAUCAUCUUGCUGGGAUCGCUCCGGUCGGUCAACACCAUAGGCAUUUUCCUGAUAAUGUUAUGCAUAGUUCCUGACACACUAAAGAAGUACACAAACACCGCAAGAGCAGCAUAAAGCUUCGGAUCAUGGAACAAAGUAUCGCCAGCUAGAACCCGCUUGAUAAGGAAUGGAGAUGAUAUGAGAAGGACGACUAUUAAGAAGGCGAUCUGCUUGGUGGAGACUGGGGGCGGACGGGUUAUCGGUCCGACGGCGAAGCCGGUUUUCGAUACAACAAAGUCGGCCAUGGAAUCGGCCAGGCGGGAGAAAUCGGACUGAUCCAUGGGGUCGGAAUCGCGGGGUGAUCCAGCGUUGGGGGAGACAUGGCGGACGUGGGGGAGGGAGUUG
rnacentral:misc_RNA from 1 species